rnacentral:rRNA from 1 species
GUAGGUGGCAAGCGUUGUCCGGAAUUAUUGGGCGUAAAGCGCGCGCAGGCGGUUCUUUAAGUCUGAUGUGAAAGCCCACGGCUCAACCGUGGAGGGUCAUUGGAAACUGGAGAACUUGAGUACAGAAGAGUAAAGCGGAAUUCCACGUGUAGCGGUGAAAUGCGUAGAGAUGUGGAGGAACACCAGUGGCGAAGGCGGCUUUCUGGUCUGUAACUGACGCUGAGGCGCGAAAGCGUGGGGAGCAAACAGGAUUAGAUACCCUGGUAGUCCACGCCGUAAACGAUGAGUGCUAAGUGUUAGGGGGUUUCCGCCCCCCUUAGUGCUGCAGCUAACGCAUUAAGCACUCCGCCUGGGAGUACGGCCGCAAGGCUG